rnacentral:rRNA from 1 species
AACGAACGCUGGCGGCAUGCCUAACACAUGCAAGUCGAACGAGACCUUCGGGUCUAGUGGCGCACGGGUGCGUAACGCGUGGGAACCUGCCCUUAGGUUCGGAAUAACUCCCCGAAAGGGGUGCUAAUACCGGAUAAUGUCUUCGGACCAAAGAUUUAUCGCCUUUGGAUGGGCCCGCGUUGGAUUAGCUUGUUGGGAGGGUAAAAGCCUACCAAGGCGACGAUCCAUAGCUGGUCUGAGAGGAUGAUCAGCCACACUGGGACUGAGACACGGCCCAGACUCCUACGGGAGGCAGCAGUGGGGAAUAUUGGACAAUGGGCGAAAGCCUGAUCCAGCAAUGCCGCGUGAGUGAUGAAGGCCUUAGGGUUGUAAAGCUCUUUUACCCGGGAUGAUAAUGACAGUACCGGGAGAAUAAGCUCCGGCUAACUCCGUG